rnacentral:rRNA from 1 species
AUUGAACGCUAGCGGGAUGCCUUACACAUGCAAGUCGAACGGAGUGUCGAACGGGUGAGUAAUGUAUCGGCACGUGCCCAGUAGCGUGGGAUAACUACGCGAAAGCGUAGCUAAUACCGCAUACUUUUGGAGCGGCCGAUAUCGGAUUAGCUAGUUGGGGGGGUAACGGCUCACCAAGGCGACGAUCCGUAGCUGGUUGGAGAGGACGACCAGCAACACUGGAACUGAGACACGGCCCAGACUCCUACGGGAGGCAGCAGUGGGGAAUUUUGGACAAUGGGGGAAACCCUGAGACAGCCAUCCGGCGUGGGCGAGGAAGGCCUUCGGGUUGUAAAGAACUUUUGGCAGGAAAGCGGUACCUGCAGAAUAAGCAACGGCUAACUACGUGCCAGCAGCCGCGGUAAUUC